CAGGUCUUGACAUCCUCUGACAACCCUAGAGAUAGGGCUUUCCCUUCGGGGACAGAGUGACAGGUGGUGCAUGGUUGUCGUCAGCUCGUGUCGUGAGAUGUUGGGUUAAGUCCCGCAACGAGCGCAACCCUUGAUCUUAGUUGCCAGCAUUUAGUUGGGCACUCUAAGGUGACUGCCGGUGACAAACCGGAGGAAGGUGGGGAUGACGUCAAAUCAUCAUGCCCCUUAUGACCUGGGCUACACACGUGCUACAAUGGACAGAACAAAGGGCUGCGAGACCGCAAGGUUUAGCCAAUCCCACAAAUCUGUUCUCAGUUCGGAUCGCAGUCUGCAACUCGACUGCGUGAAGCUGGAAUCGCUAGUAAUCGCGGAUCAGCAUGCCGCGGUGAAUA
rnacentral:rRNA from 1 species